rnacentral:rRNA from 1 species
ACUCCUACGGGAGGCAGCAGUGGGGAAUAUUGCACAAUGGGGAAACCCUGAUGCAGCCAUGCCGCGUGUGUGAAGAAGGCCUGGUUGUAAAGCACUUCAGUAGGGAGGAAGGUAGUGUAGUUAACACCUGCACUAUUUGACGUUACCUACAGAAGAAGCACCGGCUAACUCCGUGCCAGCAGCCGCGGUAAUACGGAGGGGUGCGAGCGUUAAUCGGAAUUACUGGGCGUAAAGCGCAUGCAGGCGGCCUGUUAAGUCAGAUGUGAAAGCCCGGGGGCUUAACCUCGGAAUUGCAUUUGAAACUGGCAGGCUAGAGUCUUGUAGAGGGGGUAGAAUUUCAGGUGUAGCGGUGAAAUGCGUAGAGAUCUGAAGGAAUACCAGUGGCGAAGGCGGCCCCCUGGACAAAGACUGACGCUCAGAUGCGAAAGCGUGGGGAGCAAACAGGAUUAGAUACCCUGGUAGGAUAGC